UUGAUCUGAAUUUGAUCAGUCAGAUGUUAUAUCUACUGAUUUAGAAGAAACUUAAAUCUAAAUCUCCUCACUGAAUAUUAAGUCUAGAAGUCUUCCAUCAUUGUAGAGAUGCGGGUGCCUUCCUGACAUUGAUCGUUCUCGACUAGUUACAGUGAUUCGGUUGCAUCGAAAAGGUACAAUCACUCUAUUGGCAUUUGAUCUCCUGGAGUAG
rnacentral:lncRNA from 1 species